rnacentral:rRNA from 1 species
UACGGAGGGUGCAAGCGUUAUCCGGAUUUACUGGGUUUAAAGGGUGUGUAGGCGGGCUUUUAAGUCAGUGGUGAAAUCUCCGGGCUCAACCCGGAAACUGCCAUUGAUACUAUUAGUCUUGAAUUUUUGUUGAGGUAGGCGGAAUAAGUCAUGUAGCGGUGAAAUGCUUAGAUAUGACUUAGAACACCAAUUGCGAAGGCAGCUUGCUAAACAAAUAUUGACGCUGAGGCACGAAAGCGUGGGGGAUCAAACAGG